rnacentral:rRNA from 1 species
UACGGAGGGUGCGAGCGUUGCUCGGAAUCACUGGGCGUAAAGCGUACGCAGGCGGUUCUUUAAGGCGGGUGUGAAAGCCCGGGGCUCAACCCCGGAAUUGCGCCCGAGACUGCAGGACUUGAAUGCGGGAGAGGAAAGCGGAAUUCCUGGUGUAGAGGUGAAAUUCGUAGAUAUCAGGAGGAACACCUGUGGCGAAAGCGGCUUUCUGGCCCGACAUUGACGCUCAUGUACGAAAGCGUGGGGAGCAAACAGG